rnacentral:rRNA from 1 species
AUUGAACGCUGGCGGCAUGCCUAACACAUGCAAGUCGAACGGUAACAGGCAAAGCUUGCUUUGCGCUGACGAGUGGCGGACGGGUGAGUAACGCGUAAGAAUCUGCCCUAAAGUGGGGGACAACCCGGGGAAACUCGGGCUAAUACCGCAUAUGCCCUUCGGGGUAAAGCUGGGGACCUUCGGGCCUGGCGCUUUAGGAGGAGCCUGCGUUGGAUUAGCUUGUUGGUGAGGUAAAGGCUCACCAAGGCGACGAUCCAUAGCUGGGCUGAGAGGACGAUCAGCCACACUGGGACUGAGACACGGCCCAGACUCCUACGGGAGGCAGCAGUGGGGAAUAUUGGACAAUGGGGGAAACCCUGAUCCAGCAAUGCCGCGUGUGUGAAGAAGGCCUUAUGGUUGUAAAGCACUUUAAGCGAGGAGGAGGCUCUUUUGGUUAAUACCCAGAAUGAGUGGACGUUACUCGCAGAAUAAGCACCGGCUAACUCUGUGCCAGCCGCCGCCGUAA